rnacentral:rRNA from 1 species
UACAGAGGUCUCAAGCGUUGUUCGGAUUCAUUGGGCGUAAAGGGUGCGUAGGCGGCGCGGUAAGUCGGGUGUGAAAUCUUGGAGCUUAACUCCGAAACUGCAUUCGAUACUGCCGUGCUUGAGGACUGGAGAGGAGACUGGAAUUUACGGUGUAGCGGUGAAAUGCGUAGAUAUCGUAAGGAAGACCAGUGGCGAAGGCGGGUCUCUGGACAGUACCUGACGCUGAAGCACGAAGGCCAGGGGAGCAAACGGG